AGAGAUUUAGGCCAAGAACCGUCACACAUGUACCUGUCAUCGUAAGUCAUUUUUCUUGUAGUGCAAGAUGACUUAGGUUCAUUCUCUAAAAGAAUGACUUAAGUAUUUAGGAAGUAUUUAUGAGUAAAUUGUCCAAAAGGUGAAUAUCAGCAAAACAUCCAAAUGCAUGAUUCUCUAAAGAUGACUUAGAGUUAUGAUCUAAGUACUUAGAAAGUAUUCUAAGUAAAAUGCCCAAGGGGUGAAUUUCGACAAAAUGUCUGAGGGCGUGAUUUUACCAAAAUGACCUAGGUCCGUUCUCUAUAAGAAUAACUUAGGUAUUAAGAAAAUUUUGAGUAGAUUGCCUGAACGCAAUAAUAAAAAAAGUACUUACGAGCAAAUAAACAUUUUACGAAGUGAGCCCAUAAGCCAACGAACAUUCUAUAGAAUGUGCCUACAAGCAAAUAAAUAUUCUACAGAAUGUUCACACAGGCUAACAAACAUCUUGUGGAAUGCACCUACGAGCAAAUAUACAUUCUAUGAAACGAGCUUAUGAGUUAACAAACAUUUAUGAAUUGCACCUGCGAGCAAAUAAAUAUUCCAGGAAUCAGCCAUGAGCCAACAAAUAUCUAUUGAAUGAGUCUGCCAAUAAAUAAACAUUCUACGGGAUAAGCCUACUAACUAACAAAUAUUUGAUAGAAUGCACUUAUGAGCAAAAUUAUAUAUCCUAUGAAAUAAGUCCACUAGCCAACAAACAUUUUAUAAAAUGCGCCUAUGGGCAAAAUGCUGUAAAAUCAAUCAUUUUUAUGAGGAACCAACUUAAAAGCUGAAGUAAAGCUCAAUCCCACUAAAUGUCAAGAGCCCAAAGCAAAUAUGAUAAGUGUCAAAAGAAUACUCGUCAUGAACAAGUAUCGACACAUAUGGAUAUAUGUUUCCAUGCAUGAGACUUAAUUGACACUUGUCAGAAGAAAAUUGUCAUUGUAACUCCUCCCCUCCCCUCUCCUUUUCCCACCCAAUUUUAAGGUAAGAUGAAAAAAAAAGGGGACGAAAUGGUACACAUCCUACUCUAAAACUUCUCUCUGUAAAAAUUGAUUAAAAUCAACUAACUCAAGCAUCAAAUGGAUUAUCGUGAGCAUGACGAACCCCUUGACAAUUGUUUCAUUUUUCAGAACAAUGAACCACCAAAAAACAUUUGUUUUAAGAAGAGAAUAGACCAAAAAACUUCAUUUAAAGAAAGUUCGGAACAAAAAAUCAAUUAAUAUUCAUUAAGUAGAAAUUUGCAUCAACAGACUGCAUCAUUUAGUUCAAGUGAAGAUAUUAUUUUCCUUAACAUCCUAGCUAACUUAUCAUUUGUGUUCGUAAAAAUAUACUUAACUAUAGUCUAUUUUUCUGGUAUUACAUGUUAUAAUGUCCAUAACCAAUCAUUUGUUCUCACAUGUGAUUGUGAGAUAAGUUCGGAGCAUGUAUAAAGCAUAGCCAACUUUUGUUUUAAAAAAAAAAAUUAAUGUUUUUGGUCUUUUCAAAAGAGAGAUGAAAUAUCAGAAUAUAAAAUGGUUAUAUUUUCCAGUUAACUUUCAGUGGAAAAUUAGCAUAUGUCGCGGUGCCAUAGAUAAUUAAGCUCCGGUGAAAAAAAGCCAACAAAAGGUUCAUGCCUGAGUUCAUAGCCCGAAAACGUAGAUGAAGAAACAGUGGAGCCCAGCCACUUACAGCGGCUUUUUGUUUAAACAAAAUAGAAAAUCACUUACAGGGGCUUGAUGUUCACGGUUUUGCUGACUCGAGGACCUUAGCCCAUAAAAGAUUCUAAUAUCAGCCCAAGACUAAAACGCCCAAAAGUAAUCAGGGCAAUAUCCAUAGUAUAAGUUAGUUGCUAAAUUUCCUUGAAACUUAUGCGCAGGUUAUAUUCGAUUCUAAUAUUUGUUUAAAAUACCCAGAUGAAAUAUAGAGAUGGGGUUAAAAAAAAUAAAUUAAUCUUGCAUGUCUAUUUGCAAGCUUCAAAGAACAAUAGAAAAGGGGUCUAUGCCCUAUGUAAUAAGCCGGUACUUUGACAAAUUUAAGCCCUUACACCAUACACGAAACUUACCAUUUAAUAUUAAAUCAAUGAUUGAUUUUAAUCCAUUUUAUUAAUUGCUUCCCAACUAUAAAACUAAUGCGAUGAGAAAAAUAGAGAGACCAAAAAUGCUUCAUUAUAAUAGAGUUUAGUUGUUGAGCAAUGAUAUUCAAAGAGAAAAAUGAUGGCAAGGAUAGUGAUAAACUAAUGCUAAUUUACUCAAUUAAUUAAAAUAAAGAUAAACCGACACCAAUUUAUUAUUAGUUUCGUCAUUAUUUUGUCACCAUUUUAUCUUGAUAUCGUUUCGCUCAUUUAUUGUUAGUUUAACACGGCUGAAAGUAAAGGCAGAGACAGCCUUGACAUAAUCCACUUGUUGCUCCAUUUUGAACACAAAAGUUGAUGCAACUUUUGUCGGUACAAUUGGGUAAGUUUCUGGGUUUCGCCCAAAUCCUCCCCUCGUCUGUAGAGAAGAAACAUAUCGCUAUUAAAUUUGAUUACUCGCCCUCACAAUAAUUAUGAAACAAUUAACCACACAUGUUUCUGUAAGGUAAAUUCUCCUUUAGUUUCUAAGGUUUGCACUACAAGAAAAAUGACCUACUAUGACAGGUAAAACUGUCAUACUAGGGGAUGGAUGACAGUUGUUCAUACCGUCAUUAUAGCCAGCGUUAAGAAUUGAUGACAGAACAAUACCCGCCAUAGCCUGUGAUGGAUAUAACCAGUCGCA
rnacentral:lncRNA from 1 species